UACGGGGGGGGCAAGCGUUGUUCGGAAUUACUGGGCGUAAAGGGCGCGUGGGCGGCCUGCUAAGUCGGACGUGAAAUCCCUCGGCUCAACCGAGGAACUGCGUCCGAUACUGGUGGGCUUGAAUCCGGGAGAGGGAUGUGGAAUUCCAGGUGUAGCGGUGAAAUGCGUAGAUAUCUGGAGGAACACCGGUGGCGAAGGCGGCAUCCUGGACCGGUAUUGACGCUGAGGCGCGAAAGCUAGGGGAGCAAACGGG
rnacentral:rRNA from 1 species